UUAACUUACAUAUCUGCAAACAUAUUAUGUAUUUUUAUGCUUUAGUAGAGUCAAAAACUUCCCUACAGCACCUUUAAGUUAUUUCUGUCAUAA